AUUGAACGCUGGCGGCAUGCCUUACACAUGCAAGUCGAACGGUAGAGGGGCAACCCUUGAGAGUGGCGAACGGGUGAGUAAUGCAUCGGAACGUGCCCAGUAGUGGGGGAUAGCCCGGCGAAAGCCGGAUUAAUACCGCAUGAGACCUGAGGGUGAAAGCGGGGGAUCGCAAGACCUCGCGCUAUUGGAGCGGCCGAUGUCAGAUUAGCUAGUUGGUGGGGUAAAGGCCUACCAAGGCGACGAUCUGUAGCUGGUCUGAGAGGACGACCAGCCACACUGGGGCUGAGAACCGGCCCAGACUCCUACGGGAGGCAGCAGUGGGGAAUUUUGGACAAUGGGCGCAAGCCUGAUCCAGCCAUGCCGCGUGCGGGAAGAAGGCCUUCGGGUUGUAAACCGCUUUUGUCAGGGAAGAAAUCUUCUGGGCUAAUACCCUGGGAGGAUGACGGUACCUGAAGAAUAAGCACCGGCUAACUACGUGCCAGCCGCCGCCGUAA
rnacentral:rRNA from 1 species